CACUAUCGUUAACUGAAUACAUAGGUUAACGAGGCGAACCGGGGGAACUGAAACAUCUAAGUACCCCGAGGAAAAGAAAUCAACCGAGAUUCCCCCAGUAGCGGCGAGCGAACGGGGAGCAGCCCAGAGUCUGAAUCAGCUUGUGUGUUAGUGGAACGGUCUGGAAAGUCCGACGGUACAGGGUGAUAGUCCCGUACACCAAAAUGCACAGGCUGUGAACUCGAAGAGUAGGGCGGGACACGUGGUAUCCUGUCUGAAUAUGGGGGGACCAUCCUCCAAGGCUAAAUACUCCUGACUGACCGAUAGUGAACCAGUACCGUGAGGGAAAGGCGAAAAGAACCCCGGCGAGGGGAGUGAAAAAGAACCUGAAACCGUGUACGUACAAGCAGUGGGAGCACCUUCGGGUGUGACUGCGUACCUUUUGUAUAAUGGGUCAGCGACUUAUAUUCUGUAGCAAGGUUAACCGUAUAGGGGAGCCGCAGGGAAACCGAGUCUUAACUGGGCGUUAAGUUGCAGGGUAUAGACCCGAAACCCGGUGAUCUAGCCAUGGGCAGGUUGAAGGUUGGGUAACACUAACUGGAGGACCGAACCGACUAAUGUUGAAAAAUUAGCGGAUGACUUGUGGCUGGGGGUGAAAGGCCAAUCAAACCGGGAGAUAGCUGGUUCUCCCCGAAAGCUAUUUAGGUAGCGCCUCGUGAAUUCAUCUUCGGGGGUAGAGCACUGUUUCGGCUAGGGGGUCAUCCCGACUUACCAACCCGAUGCAAACUACGAAUACCGAAGAAUGUUAUCACGGGAGACACACGGCGGGUGCUAACGUCCGUCGUGAAGAGGGAAACAACCCAGACCGCCAGCUAAGGUCCCAAAGUCAUGGUUAAGUGGGAAACGAUGUGGGAAGGCACAGACAGCCAGGAUGUUGGCUUAGAAGCAGCCAUCAUUUAAAGAAAGCGUAAUAGCUCACUGGUCGAGUCGGCCUGCGCGGAAGAUGUAACGGGGCUAAACCAUGCACCGAAGCUGCGGCAGCGACACUAUGUGUUGUUGGGUAGGGGAGCGUUCUGUAAGCCUGCGAAGGUGACCUGUGAGGGUUGCUGGAGGUAUCAGAAGUGCGAAUGCUGACAUAAGUAACGAUAAAGCGGGUGAAAAGCCCGCUCGCCGGAAGACCAAGGGUUCCUGUCCAACGUUAAUCGGGGCAGGGUGAGUCGACCCCUAAGGCGAGGCCGAAAGGCGUAGUCGAUGGGAAACAGGUUAAUAUUCCUGUACUUGGUGUUACUGCGAAGGGGGGACGGAGAAGGCUAUGUUAGCCGGGCGACGGUUGUCCCGGUUUAAGCAUGUAGGCUGGUUGUCCAGGCAAAUCCGGAUAAUCAAGGCUGAGGUGUGAUGACGAGG
rnacentral:rRNA from 1 species